CUGACAUGCGUGCGAGUCGACGGGUUUUGAAACCUGGAAUACGCAAGGAAUCUAACAAGUGGCAGGCCCUCGCGGGCCAUACCUCUGGCCGCCCUGAUCUUCUGUGAAGGGUUCGAAUUGGAGUACGCAUGUCGGGACCCGAAAGAUGGUGAAUUAUGCUUGAGCGGGGCGAAGUCAGAGGAAAAUCUAAUGGAGGCUCGAAGCGAUACUGACGUACAAAUCGUUUGUCUGACUUGGGUAUAGGGAUGAGACCAUCGAACCAUCUAGUAGCUGG
rnacentral:ncRNA from 1 species